rnacentral:rRNA from 1 species
CUGAGUAGCUCGGUACACGAGAAAUCCAGUGUGAAUAAGCCGGUACCAUACGGUAAGGAUAAAUACUCCCGAGAGACCGAUAGUGAAACAGUACCGUUAGGGAAAGGUGAAAAGAACCCCGCAUAGGGGAGUGAAAAAGACCUUGAAACCGUUCGCCUACAAGCGGUCGGAGCAUCAUAAGAUGUGACGGCGUGCCUUUUGCAUAAUGAUCCUACGAGUUUCCGUAUCUGGCAAGGUUAAGUGAUUCAGUCACGAAGCCGAAGCGAAAGCGAGUCCGAAUAGGGCGUUAAGUCAGGUGCGGAAGACGCGAAACCAAGUGAUCUACCCUUGUCCAGGUUGAAGGUGGGGUAACACCCAGUGGAGGACCGAACCGGUAAGCGUUGAAAAGCUUUCGGAUGAGGUGAGGGUAGGAGCGAAAGACCAAUCAAACUUGGAGAUAGCUCGUACUCCCCGAAAUGCCUUUAGGGGCAGCGUUUUAGAAGAGAUUCAACGAGGUAGAGCGACCGAUUGGAUGCGAGGGCUUCACCGCCUAUCAAGUCCUGACGAACUCCGAAUGCGUUGAAUUGCUCUAGAGCAGUGAGGGCGUGGGUGCUAAGGUCCACGUCCGAGAGGAGAAGAAUCCAGACCAUCGGCUAAGGCCCCGAAGUGGCGGCUAAGUUGGACUAACGAAGUCUUGUCGCAGAGACAGCUGGGAUGUUGGCUUGGAAGCAGCCAUUCAUCCAAGGAGUGCGUAACAGCUCACCAGUCGAGCGACGAGGCGUGGAUAAUAAUCGGGCAUAAAGUCGCCCGCCGAAGCCAUGGAUCCGUAAGGAUGGUAGGGGAGCAUUCCCUGAGCGAAGAAGAUGAAUCGUGAGAUUUGUUGGAGCGCAGGGAAAAGCAAAUGUAGGAAUGAGUAACGAUAAGGGAGGUGAGAUUCCUCCCCGCCGAAAGACCAAGGGUUCCUGAUCAACGCACGACGGAUCAGGGUAAGUCGGGACCUAAGUCUAAGCCGAAGGGCGAUGACGAUGGAAGAGCGGGUUAAUAUUCCCGUACUGGCUAUAAUGGCGAUGUGGAGACGGAGAAGUGACACAACUGCCGGGUGACGGAUAUCCCGGUUUAAGGAGGUAGAUAUAGAGGUUUGCAGGCAAAUCCGCAGACUGAGUCGAGACUGAGGGCUGAGGACUCUACGGAAGAAUCAGUAGUUGGUAAUCAUGCUCCCAAGAAAAACCGCUAAGCAUACAUUAUAGGCACCCGUACCGUAAACCGACACAGGUGGUUGGGUAUAGCGUACUAAGGCGCACGGGAGAUUCGCGGUUAAGGAACUAGGCAAAAUAGCCCCGUAACUUCGGGAAAAGGGGCGCUCACGAAGGUGAGCCGCAGAGAAAUGGCUCAGGCGACUGUUUAACAAAAACACAGGGCUAUGCAAAAUCGCAAGAUGAAAUAUAUGGCCUGACACCUGCCCGGUGCUGGAAGGUUAAGAGGAGAUGUCAGGCCAUAUAUUUCAUCUUGCGAUUUUGCAUAGCCCUGUGUUUUUGUUAAACAGUCGCCUGAGCCAUUUCUCUGCGGCUCACCUUCGUGAGCGCCCCUUUUCC